UGUCCACCUAGGAUUCCAGGUCACAAAUUCAGCUCUUGAAAGAGUGACACCUGUCCAGGCCAAUGAUACUCUGCGUUUCAUUUAAUCUCUUUCUAUUGUUUCCGUGUGUUUUGUAUGUUUCCUGGCUUUUCUUUCAAUUUUUUGGGCUUUCUACUCUUCUAAGCCCAGAACGUUACCUCAUCUCUUCCCGUGGUCGUCGAAUCAGUUACCUAGCUCUAGCCGACUUUGCAAAACCUCCAUUGAAACGCUUCACUCUGCAUUCAUACCAAGCAAUAAUUCUUCUCAUUAUUUCCUCCUAUCCACGAAACCCACUACGUCCUACUUAAUUUUCCUUUAUUACCUUUUCUAGGUUUAUGAUCUUAUAAAUAGGGAUGAAAGCGUCACAAAUCUCAUCGCUUCUUAGCGUAUAUGCUUUAAUUUCUUUUUAAACCAUUGUUACGACGAUGGCGAAUUAUUUUUAGGUCGUUGUAUGCAAACUGUUGUGGCGCCUCAUCUUUGCUACUGGGAAGCCCGGAGAGUGAAGAAAAGUGGGGGAGUUCAUGGGUACUUGCUACUUCUAGAUGAGAAGUUCAUCGUCUAAAGAUGCCACCGCUGAAGAGCUAGAGUGCUCUGUGAAUGAACGCCUCUCCAAACCUUAUCGAGGAUCAUUGUUCUAGAGGCCCAGGUUUUAUAUGAUCCCUGACACUGUUCUUCAUCAAUGGCACAUAUUUUCUCUAAUUCUAGCUUGCCCGGUUCACCUAUCUAGCUUUCAUAUCUUAGAGCAGACCAGGGCCAGUUAAACAAGUUGCUCAAAAAGGAGAGGCAGAGAGCGGCAGAGAAUACACAAGAGUAUCUGGCAGCGAAGGAGGAAGCCGAUACCCUAGAAGGUCGAGCAAACCAACUUGAAGUGUAAAUUAGGAAACUGCGGAGAAAACAUAAGCAAGUGUUACAAAAAGGGCAGCUCCAAAACGAGCUUAUUCAGAAGGUGCUACGUAGUCUUACAGAAGAAACAAUCACUUCAGACUUUCAGACUCUGUGCCUCUGAGUAACUCUGCCUUAAUCUUCAUGAAUCUGCUUCUGAGUUGUUGAUGCAGUUGGGAGGUAUAACAAAAUUACGUUCUGUUUCAAUAUCUGCAACAUCAAGGAUAUGAAAGACGAAGGAAUCUAUCCUUCACAAGCAUGUGCUGUGUUUUCUUAUUUUAUAAGUUGGGUUAAAAAAUUUAAUAUAUAAAAAACUAUCAUGUUUGCUAUCGUGAA